rnacentral:rRNA from 1 species
CCUACGGGAGGCAGCAGUGGGGAAUAUUGCACAAUGGCGGAAACCCUGAUGCAGCGACGCCGCGUGAGUGAAGAAGUAUUUCGGUAUGUAAAGCCCUUUCAGCAGGGAAGAAAAUGUCGGUACCUGACUAAGUAACCACGGCUAACUACGUGCCAGCAGCCGCGGUAAUACGUAGGGGGCAAGCGUUAUCCGGAUUUACUGGGUGUAAAGGGAGCGUAGACGGCCGGACAAGUCAGAAGUGAAAACCCGCGGCUCAACGGCGGGAGUGCGUUUGAAACUGUUUGGCUGGAGUGCAGGAGAGGUAAGUGGAAUUCGUAGUGUAGCGGUGAAAUGCGUAGAUAUUAGGAGGAACACCAGUGGCGAAGGCGGCUUACUGGAGUGUAACUGACGUUGAGGCUCGAAAGCGUGGGUAGCAAACAGGAUUAGAUACCCGAGUAGUC